CAUUCCUGACCUGCUUCUCCAGUUGAAAACUGCUCCCUAAGAGAAUCUGUACCUGCUUCUCUCUGCAUCUCUGCUCCAUUCCUCUCUUGCUACCAAAUAGACACUCCCCGCUAUGAGGGAGAGGACAUUCCAGCUAUGAGGCUCUCUGAGUAAACCUGACCUCUGGACGCACAGAAUCAUGCCCUGAAAGAGGCUGCAAUUUCUGGACAACUGGAGACAAGCUCAUUGGAAUAGGACCCAAGAGCUGGACCAGAUGUUGGUGUUAACACUCUCAUAACUGUUACAGGACAGGUUGAACACGGUGUGCAAUGAAUAACUUUGAAGAAAUGUGCAUACAUUUUCAAAAGGUUGAGGUAAGGGAGGUGGAGGAGGAAGAGAAACACUGCUGUUGUGAAAACAUUUAAAAGAAACUUGAUGCAAUGUGCCUUCUUUCCUUCUUCAACUUACACUUGGUCCUCCUCUGUGUGCAUGCACAUCUCUUAGCCAAGAGGGAUUCUAGUGAAGAGACCUAUGGGGAAUGAACUCCUGCUGCUUACCCUGCAGCCCAUCUAUCUCCUGCCUCAGGAAUGUCGUUCAUUCAUCGAUAGGCCAACCAGCCCAUCUUAAGUGAAGGUGCUCAAUCUCACAGAGUUCCAGCAAAUGAAAGGCCUCGAGAUAAGAGGCAAUAAGAACUGACCGUGUUUGUCCUGCUGCAUCAGGAGUGAGUGCUGCAGUACAACACAUACAGCAAGGACCUCUGGUCACAGUGCCGAAGGAAUUAUCCAGAAUCUUCCUGGUCUAUUAUACUAAUAAAUCUAAUACUACUAUACGUAUACUAAUACUAAUAUACUUACACGUUAAUAAUUAAUAGGAGUGAAAGUUGCCUCCAACCACCACUGUGACCCCCAUCACGAGGCAGGUGCUACAGCAAUGUUCUAUCAGUCAGGGCUCUCUUGCUAAAGGAGAAGCACUUCUGUAUUUCAAGGAGAAAGAGUUUAGUUAGAAGCUUACACAAUGCUUUGAAGGGUUGGAGAAACAGUAUGGAAACUAGCUGGUUCAUGAAAUCAAGCAGGGGUGGAUCCUAGGGAAACUGUUGACAACAAUCCCAGCUGUGUCUGUAACAUCAAAGCAGGUGAUUCUCAGGAGGGGGCCGGAAGCUGCAGCAAAUCAUAUGUCUAUCAUAUGUCCAAGCGUUUGUUCACAACUGCCAACAGACACACUGACUCUUCUGCCUUCCUCAUGUCCUGUGAGCAACUUUAAUUGGCAGACUGUAACCCAAUACAGGAAGGUGAUCCUGGGAAAUGGAGCUCCAGACUUCCCUGCAAUGCAGAGAAUGGAGAAAGUGGUGUGGAUGAUAUUGAAUUGACAAAGAUAAUCUGGUACAAGCAAAUUAAGCCAAACACCUAUAUCGAGGGUAGAAGGCACACAAGAUGCCAUUCCUCGUAUAUUAGUACAGAACCUCAGGGACACUCUGGGCAGAAUCCCUAGAGCAAAUUAAGUGCAGACAGACAUGGUGGCUUAAUAAUUCACCCAGCUUCUCUUUCCUUCUCAAAUGUCAAACUGCCUGGAAGUCUCAGAUAUCGAUCUGACACACACGUAACCCCCAUGCAACACAGGCUAUCUUUCCUCAACCUGGCAGUGCCCUCAAGCAUAACAAGACUCUUCAAAGCCCAAGUCCAAGAGAGCAAGGUCCAGAAAGAGAAAGGAGUUUCCUCCUCCCCUAGGUUCUCCCUGGGGCAUCCCUUUGUAGGGUCCAGAGCCUCCCUGAUAAUUGACAUGAACACCCAUGGCCACGUGCUUUCAGUGACACCAGAAGGGUAUGGUGUGAACCUACGGCCCCUCAGAACAGGGCAAAAAAAUGUGCAUUGUGCAAAAAAAUGACCAUUCACCAUAUAAGACAUAGCAUACACAGUAGCAGGGGGCUCAUUUUGUUACACUCUCAGAUGUCUAACUGGGGAGAUGAUGGUAUCAUAAGUACAGGAGGCAAAGGAGAUUUAGAGGAGGAAGGUGAGGAAAGGGACCCUCUGACACUGGGUGGGAAUGUAAAUUGGUGCAGCCACUAUGGAGAACAGUAUGGAGGUUCCUCAAAAAACUACAAAUAGAGCUACCAUAUGAUCCAGCAAUCUCACUCCUGGGUAUAUACCAGACAAAACUAUAAUUUGAAAAGAUACAUGCACCCCUAUGUUCAUAGCAGCACUAUUUAUGAUAGCUAAGACAUGGAAACAGCUUAAAUGUCCAUCGACAGAUGAAUGGAUAAAGAAGAUAUAUAUAUAUAUACAUAUAUAGAUGUGUAUGUAAAAAGAUGAUAUAUAUAUAUGUGUAUACACACACAGUGGAAUAUUACUCAACCAUCAAAAAGAAUGAAAUAAUCCAUUUGCAGCAACAUGGAUGGACCUAGAGAUUAUCAUACUAAGUGAAGUAAGUCAGAAAGUGAAAGACAAAUACCAUAUGAUAUCACUUACAUGUGGAAUCUGAAAUACGAUACAAAUCAACAUAUCUACAAAACAAGAACAGACUCACAGAUAUAGAGAACAGACUUGUGGUUGCCGAGAAGGAGAGGUGGUAGGGGAGGGAAGGAAGGGGAGUUUGGGAUUAGCAGAUGCAAACUAUUAUAUAUAGAAUGGAUAAACAACAAGGUCCUACAGCCUAGCACAGGGAAGUGUAUUUAAUAUCCUGUGAAAAACCAUAAUGGAAAAGAAUACGAAAAAAUAUAUAUAUAUGUAUAACAGUGACUUUGCUGUACAGAAGAAAUUAACACUACAUUGUAAAUCAACUGUACUUCAAUAAAAUUUAAAAAAAAAUAAAUAGAGGAGGAAGGGGAAUUCAGUCAGACACACUGAGUUUAAGCUGUCUGCAGGAGAGCCAGGUAAAGGAAGCCAAAAUGCCCUGGAGCCAGGAUUCUCUGUAUUUCUCCUGUUGAGAAUACACAACAAAAUUACCACUGGGCAAGCUCCCCAGCCCUUCCAGAUUCACUGUUGUUGAAAGGCCUCCAGGCCUUUCAUGCCCUAAGGGAACCCUUGCAGAUCUGUCUCCUCUCCACCACAUUCUUCCCUCCUGUUCUUCUGCCCUAUCAACUGUAACUGUUUACAAAUGCACGGUGCAUGUUCUAGGCCUACGAUACUGAGUGUGAUAACUUGGUCAUCAAAGAAGAGUCACUAGAUAAAUAUUUGUUGAAUUGAAUUGAACUGAUGGGAAAGGCUAAACUUGUUUAAAUUAUUUUACCUGAAGCUGUUUCCAAAUCAGAUCUGAGGAGAAGACAGUCAGGGUCAGACUGAGUCAAAAGGAAGAAAAGACCAUUUAUGCCUGGGGUCCUGGCCCCAUACCCUUAAAAUUCCUUUUGGUACUGCCAUAACCAAAUCCAUGAGCUAACAAAUGCUAAUCCCUUGGCUAACUGCAGUGAUGCAGAAAGAAGAUUCCACGUGACACGAGGGUGCUGUGGUCAACUAGAGUUGGCAUUCUGGUUUAGAAGAAAGAAAGAAACUCACUCCUUCCCCUCCCCUGCCUUGUGCUUUCCCCACGUCAGAGACAAAACGUGGUUAGUUAUCUUGGUCCCCUACUUCCCUUUGAAUUUGGCUAAAACGCUAUACCUGUGAUGCUGGCCUGGAUCUUCUCCCAUGAAUACACCCAACAGAGAAGACCCUUGCUGGCCCUUGUCUCCAUUGAAGGAAGGCAAAACUCCGAGGCCUGAGCUAGGCUGACCCUGGCUGGGCUGAGCUUUCACUGGAGCUGGCCUGGCUUUUGGGAUGCAGAUGCACUGACCAUCUGGUACCCGCCUCUUCUGGGGAGCUGAAACUCACAGGACAGAACUUGAAGGCUGCAACUGUACUUCGUCAUUAUGUUAAAGGUCCAACCCCACUCCAACACCAGUUAGAGAGCUGUGUCUCUGUGGGGUCCUUAGAAAUCAGAACUCAAGGCAAAGCUUGUAAGCUAACACUUUACUGAGGGUCCAGGCUGCAAAAGUGAAGGACAGAGGGCAGUGAAUGGGGGAAGGAGGGCAAACAUAUACAAAGGGGCAUGUUACAGAGCUGUCCACAGCCUCAGCAGAAACACUCCAGCUGCUCGGUCAUGCCCGAUGUCUGGGAGAGGCUGGGCAGAAUCACAGUGCCUCACAACAGUCUGGUUGGGACAGAAAGGACAGCAACUUUACCUGUCAGCUCCUUCCCAUUUCCUGUCACUCACACCCUUAGCGUGUGAACUCUCCUAUACUUCCUGCUCUGUUACCGGCUCCUGGGGAAACCAGAACCUCCAGGUCUAAUAAAGUCAGGCUGCUUUUCUAGAAUCCUUGUGGUCAUAGAAUACGGGAGAAAGAGCAACAUAGUCUUACUUCCCUUUGACGUCACCAUAUUCUUUUUAAACUGGUCAUCAUCCAAAGGAGAGAGCUUGUGCAGUUGGGGAGUUUAGUUGUGAUGACUUGAGUCUUGGCCAAUGUCUAAACUCGCUGAGGUAUUUCUCAAGUACUUGAAAUCAGUUUUAAGAAACAGGAGACAAAUA